rnacentral:rRNA from 1 species
UACGGAGGGUGCAAGCGUUGUCCGGAUUUAUUGGGUUUAAAGGGUGCGUAGGCGGCAGAUUAAGUCAGCGGUGAAAUUCCACAGCUCAACUGUGGAACUGCCAUUGAUACUGGUUUGCUUGAGUACAGAUGAGGUAGGCGGAAUUGACAGUGUAGCGGUGAAAUGCUUAGAUAUUGUCAAGAACACCUAUUGCGAAGGCAGCUCACUACACGAAUAUUGACACUGAGGCACGAAAGCGUGGGGAUCAAACAGG